UAGUUGGUGAGAUAACAGCCCACCAAGGCGACGAUCAGUAGCCGACCUGAGAGGGUGACCGGCCACAUUGGGACUGAGACACGGCCCAGACUCCUACGGGAGGCAGCAGUGGGGAAUAUUGCACAAUGGAGGAAACUCUGAUGCAGCGACGCCGCGUGAGUGAAGAAGUAAUUCGUUAUGUAAAGCUCUAUCAGCAGGGAAGAUAGUGACGGUACCUGACUAAGAAGCUCCGGCUAAAUACGUGCCAGCAGCCGCGGUAAUACGUAUGGAGCAAGCGUUAUCCGGAUUUACUGGGUGUAAAGGGAGUGUAGGUGGCCAUGCAAGUCAUAAGUGAAAAUCCGGGGCUCAACCCCGGAACUGCUUUUGAAACUGUAAGGCUGGAGUGCAGGAGGGGUGAGUUGAAUUCCU
rnacentral:rRNA from 1 species